GAUAGGGCCAUUUGCAAAAGCUCAACAGCGCGUUCAGAAAAACACGCCGUCGCGCUAACACACAACACGCUGUCACGCUAACACAAUUUCGCACAACACGCCGUCGCGCUAACACACAACGCGCUGUCACGCUAACACAAGUUCGCACAACACGAUGUCACGCUAACACACAACGCGCUGUCACGCUAACACAAGUUCGCACAACACGAUGUCACGCUAACACACAACGCGCUGUCACGCUAACACAAGUUCGCACAACACGAUGUCACGCUAACACACAACGCGCUGUCACGCUAACACAAGUUCGCACAACACGCCGUCGCGCUGUCACACAACUCGCUAACACAACUUUGCACUCACAGUCUACAGGGAAGUCGUGUACGGAAAUGCGGACUGCGCAUGCUGAUUGAACUAAUACACGUGUAAUGGAGGGAUAUUCGUCUUUGACCAUGUCAGAAAACCCAGAGGACAUAACUCGAGAAGACCUCAUUCGAGAAUACUUUUAUGGUGGAUACACAAAUCUGGAGAUAUGUGGUAUCCUGCUCUUGCGACACAAAAUAGUAAUAAGUGUGAGACAUCUGAAAAGGAUAAUGGCAAUGAUGGGAC